AGGACGCUGGCCCUUCUGCUUCUUACCUUAAGUCGAGCGGACAGAUGGGAGCUUGCUCCCUGAUGUUAGCGGCGGACGGGUGAGUAACACGUGGGUAACCUGCCUGUAAGACUGGGAUAACUCCGGGAAACCGGGGCUAAUACCGGAUGGUUGUUUGAACCGCAUGGUUCAAACAUAAAAGGUGGCUUCGGCUACCACUUACAGAUGGACCCGCGGCGCAUUAGCUAGUUGGUGAGGUAACGGCUCACCAAGGCAACGAUGCGUAGCCGACCUGAGAGGGUGAUCGGCCACACUGGGACUGAGACACGGCCCAGACUCCUACGGGAGGCAGCAGUAGGGAAUCUUCCGCAAUGGACGAAAGUCUGACGGAGCAACGCCGCGUGAGUGAUGAAGGUUUUCGGAUCGUAAAGCUCUGUUGUUAGGGAAGAACAAGUACCGUUCGAAUAGGGCGGUACCUUGACGGUACCUAACCAGAAAGCCACGGGCUAACUACGUGCCAGCAGCCGCGGUAAUACGUAGGUGGCAAGCUUUGUCCGGAAUUAUUGGGCGUAAGGGCCUCGCAGGCGGUUUCUUAAGUCUGAUGUGGAAGCCCCCGGCUUCACCGGGGAGGGUCAUUGGAAUUGGGGAACUUUGAGUGCGAAAAAGGAAGGUGGAAUUUCCCCGUUAGGGUGAAAUGGUUACAAUUUGGGAGAAAACCCUUGGGGAGGCCACUCUCUUGCUGUAAUUACCUGAAG
rnacentral:rRNA from 1 species